GCUUUUCGGCACCACCCAAGAUGUACUAAUGCGCCUUGUGAAGACUCACUCCCGUGGCCUCUGGGGUUCGGCAUUGAAAGAGAGGGUGGGAGAGGAAAGGAAAGAGAAGGGGAAAGGACUCAUUUGGAAGCAGUGCAUUUUUAUCAGAGGGACUGAAAAGCCUUUCGAGAAUCAGUCAAGAAAAAGGAAUGCGCAUGAGAGUCAUGUGAGAGAAGCACAAGAUACUACUACCACCUU
rnacentral:lncRNA from 1 species